UUCUUCCCAUUGGUGAAUACCUAAUUACUACCAGGAGGAAAAUAGGUCCUGCCUGGCAAAGACAGAUGCUCAAAACAAGCAGCAGUCUCCACCUUAGGAACGGGCACCAGAGGAAGAAAACAGAAGGUUCAAUAAACUGAAGGACAUUGGAGGCAG